AUCUGUCCAGUCAUAACUGUCACACUCAGAUAGUUCACAUUUCAAAUAUCAUUUCCCCAACUAGUUCUGUCGUCACAAAUUUCAUAUUAAACCAUUCACUAAAGAAGGCCAAUUCUGAAUAAAUUUUGAUUUACACUUGUCUCGACCUUGCACCUGAGUAAUUCGAUUUACCAAAGAGAAUUCCUUCUCUAACUGGGACAGUGCAUAAUUCCA
rnacentral:lncRNA from 1 species